rnacentral:rRNA from 1 species
GACGAACGCUGGCGGCGUGCUUAACACAUGCAAGUCGAACGGAAAGGCCCUGCUUUUGUGGGGUGCUCGAGUGGCGAACGGGUGAGUAACACGUGAGUAACCUGCCCUUGACUUUGGGAUAACUUCAGGAAACUGGGGCUAAUACCGGAUAGGAGCUCCUGCUGCAUGGUGGGGGUUGGAAAGUUUCGGCGGUUGGGGAUGGACUCGCGGCUUAUCAGCUUGUUGGUGGGGUAGUGGCUUACCAAGGCUUUGACGGGUAGCCGGCCUGAGAGGGUGACCGGCCACAUUGGGACUGAGAUACAGCCCAGACUCCUACGGGAGGCAGCAGUGGGGAAUAUUGCACAAUGGGCGGAAGCCUGAUGCAGCAACGCCGCGUGCGGGAUGACGGCCUUCGGGUGGUAAACCGCUUUCGCCUGUGACGAAGCGUGAGUGACGGUAAUGGGGAAAGAAGCACCGGCUAACUACGU